rnacentral:sRNA from 1 species
AACUUUUAGAACAACUAAAGAAGACACUAGCACAACGAGAAUAUCAUUU